rnacentral:rRNA from 1 species
AUUGAACGCUGGCGGCAGGCUUAACACAUGCAAGUCGAGCGGAGAUGAGGUGCUUGCACCUUAUCUUAGCGGCGGACGGGUGAGUAAUGCUUAGGAAUCUGCCUAUUAGUGGGGGACAACAUUCCGAAAGGAAUGCUAAUACCGCAUACGUCCUACGGGAGAAAGCAGGGGAUCACUUGUGACCUUGCGCUAAUAGAUGAGCCUAAGUCGGAUUAGCUAGUUGGUGGGGUAAAGGCCUACCAAGGCGACGAUCUGUAGCGGGUCUGAGAGGAUGAGCGGCCACACUGGGACUGAGACACGGCCCAGACUCCUACGGGAGGCAGCAGUGGGGAAUAUUGGACAAUGGGGGGAACCCUGAUCCAGCCAUGCCGCGUGUGUGAAGAAGGCCUUAUGGUUGUAAAGCACUUUAAGCGAGGAGGAGGCUCUUUUGGUUAAUACCCAAGAUGAGUGGACGUUACUCGCAGAAUAAGCACCGGCUAACUCUGUGCCAGCAGCCGCCGUAA